GUCAAGUGAUUUGGUCAAGUAAACAGAAUUGGCAAAGGGCAAGAACUAAAAUACACCACCAGGGACCAAGAACUAUAUCCAGGAGGACACAAACAUGGAUAUAACAGAGUUCCUGCCCUCUGCACCACUGAUGGGCCCCCAGGAUCCUUCCCACUGCUCAGUGCAAAGGCUGCAGGGGCAGGAGGGCUAUCGAAAUGGUGGUGACAGCACAAAGCCACUGAGCCACAACAGAGGCUGCCCUAGCUCAGGAAAUGACUAGAUGCAUAAGCGGCUACAGCGCGGCGCUUUGAUCCCCGAAAUCAAACCCUUCGUCUGAUGGGUGACUUGAUGUUAUGCUAAUCCGAGCUGAUUGAGCUGAGAUAAUUACACUUCAUCCAGGUUUCCUGGGAGUUCCGAAUAAAU
rnacentral:lncRNA from 1 species